UAAUCUUUAAGAAUUGAUUUAUAAAUGUAAUUAUAGAGAUAAGAUUAGCAUGGCCCGCGCAAGGAUGACACACAUAAAUCGAGAAAAGAUGUAUAAAUGU